UGCUGUGUGUGAAAGUGCUAUGAUGUGUGUGAAAGUGCUGCGUGUGAUGUGUGUGAGAGUGCUGCGUGUGAUGUGUGUGAGAGUGCUGGGUGUGAGAGUGCUGGGUGUGCUGUGUGUGAGAGUGCUGGGUGUGAGAGUGCUGGGUGUGAUGUGUGUGAGAGUGUUGUGUGAGUGCUGAGAAUGCUGAGUGUGAUAGUGCUGUGUAUAAAUGUUGUGUGUUGG